AACGAACGCUGGCGGCAGGCCUAACACAUGCAAGUCGAGCGAGGACUUCGGUUCUAGCGGCGGACGGGUGUGUAACGCGUGGGAAUGUGCCCUUCUCUACGGAAUAGCCCUGGGAAACUGGGAGUAAUACCGUAUACGCCCUAUUGGGGAAAGAUUUAUCGGAGAAGGAUCAGCCCGCGUUGGAUUAGGUAGUUGGUGGGGUAAUGGCCUACCAAGCCGACGAUCCAUAGCUGGUUUGAGAGGAUGAUCAGCCACACUGGGACUGAGACACGGCCCAGACUCCUACGGGAGGCAGCAGUGGGGAAUCUUAGACAAUGGGGGCAACCCUGAUCGAGCCAUGCCGCGUGAGUGAUGAAGGCCUUAGGGUUGUAAAGCUCUUUCAGCUGGGAAGAUAAUGACGGUACCAGCAGAAGAAGCCCCGGCUAACUCCGUG
rnacentral:rRNA from 1 species